UUAACACAUGCAAGUCGAGGGGCAGCAUGGUCUUAGCUUGCUAAGGCCGAUGGCGACCGGCGCACGGGUGAGUAACACGUAUCCAACCUGCCGUCUACUCUUGGACAGCCUUCUGAAAGGAAGAUUAAUACAAGAUGGCAUCAUGAGUCCGCAUGUUCACAUGAUUAAAGGUAUUCCGGUAGACGAUGGGGAUGCGUUCCAUUAGAUAGUAGGCGGGGUAACGGCCCACCUAGUCUUCGAUGGAUAGGGGUUCUGAGAGGAAGGUCCCCCACAUUGGAACUGAGACACGGUCCAAACUCCUACGGGAGGCAGCAGUGAGGAAUAUUGGUCAAUGGGCGAGAGCCUGAACCAGCCAAGUAGCGUGAAGGAUGACUGCCCUAUGGGUUGUAGACUUCUUUUAUAAAGGAAUAAAGUCGGGUAUGGAUACCCGUUUGCAUGUACUUUAUGAAUAAGGAUCGGCUAACUCCGUGCCAGCAGCCGCGGUAAUACGGAGGAUCCGAGCGUUAUCCGGAUUUAUUGGGUUUAAAGGGAGCGUAGAUGGAUGUUUAAGUCAGUUGUGAAAGUUUGCGGCUCAACCGUAAAAUUGCAGUUGAUACUGGAUAUCUUGAGUGCAGUUGAGGCAGGCGGAAUUCGUGGUGUAGCGGUGAAAUGCUUAGAUAUCACGAAGAACUCCGAUUGCGAAGGCAGCCUGCUAAGCUGCAACUGACAUUGAGGCUCGAAAGUGUGGGUAUCAAACAGGAUUAGAUACCCUGGUAGUCCACACGGUAAACGAUGAAUACUCGCUGUUUGCGAUAUACUGCAAGCGGCCAAGCGAAAGCGUUAAGUAUUCCACCUGGGGAGUACGCCGGCAACGGUGAAACUCAAAGGAAUUGACGGGGGCCCGCACAAGCGGAGGAACAUGUGGUUUAAUUCGAUGAUACGCGAGGAACCUUACCCGGGCUUAAAUUGCAGAUGAAUUACGGUGAAAGCCGUAAGCCGCAAGGCAUCUGUGAAGGUGCUGCAUGGUUGUCGUCAGCUCGUGCCGUGAGGUGUCGGCUUAAGUGCCAUAACGAGCGCAACCCUUGUUGUCAGUUACUAACAGGUCAUGCUGAGGACUCUGACAAGACUGCCAUCGUAAGAUGUGAGUAAGGUGGGGAUGACGUCAAAUCAGCACGGCCCUUACGUCCGGGGCUACACACGUGUUACAAUGGGGGGUACAGAGGGCCGCUACCACGCGAGUGGAUGCCAAUCCCCAAAACCUCUCUCAGUUCGGACUGGAGUCUGCAACCCGACUCCACGAAGCUGGAUUCGCUAGUAAUCGCGCAUCAGCCACGGCGCGGUGAAUACGUUCCCGGGCCUUGUACACACUGCCCGUCAAGCCAUGGGAGCCGGGGGUACCUGAAGUGCGUAACCGCGAGGAGCGCCCUAGGGUAAAACUGGUGACUGGGGC
rnacentral:rRNA from 1 species